UCCUUAGGGAAGGUAUGAAUCACAUCACACAAAAAUCUCUGUCCAAGACCAAAUCUGAGGAGACUUUUAUCUGUCUGUGUGGAAUUCCAUAAAAUGAAACCCCCAACUCCUUUCUCAACUUGUUCUCAGAAGUCUCGUGAGAUUUUUCCCUGCUACCCUCAUCCCUUGUAGGCUGUUUCUCCGAGAAACCUGUCCAGCCAACCUGUUGAAGGCAUAUGCGCCGUAUUUUCACCAGCAUUUCCUUAAGAUAUUGGAUCUGAGCUAGGGGUGUAGCAUUGCUUAACAUAUGAGAGACCCAAGUUCAAUCCCCAGCACCACCAAGAAAGAGAACAUUGGUGUGAUGAAAGAAGACCUUGAUGCUAAGGAUUUCUUUUCAGAAUAAAAGCAUGAUCUUAAAAACUGCAAACAAGGUUCAAGACAUGAGGAAAAGAACACAGUAUUGAGGAGGAUUCUGGGAAGAUGGGUUUCACCACGGCUGCUCCUGUCAUUGGUUAUCCAGGAGGUGACAUGGAUAAACCCUUGAAAUCACAUUCAUCACAUACAGGCUGCCAAGAGCAUUCAUUCACACGGAACAAGGGAUGCAGGAAACACUUCAGAGGACAGCCCUCAUCUCUUCCUUCAAGCCAGACCUACCAAUUCUGCUGUUCCAUGAUGUGCUGCAUUGAACAAAAGGGGAUUUGGUACCCGGUGGCCGAGAAGUGAGCCUCAAGGGGCCCAUCAGGCCACUAGAUCUGUUUCUCUGGGUGCAUGACUGCCACACACAUCAUGACUCCACCUCCUCAAGACCUGUGUCCUGAGUCUUCUGUGCAGCUGUGCCUUCCAGGCCCUUCAUGGUGGCCUUCGUUUCUGUCUGUCUUUCCCUGCUACCUGAUAAGACUAAUUUUGCUUCUAAUUUCAUAUCUUGGCGGAGCUCUUGGGGGGAUUAUUCAUGAUUUCCAUUUGUCUUUUCUUACUACCGUAGCUCAGACUCCACAAACAACUCUAGGGUGUGGGUAGCUCAUACUUGCUAGCUAUCUGCCAGUCUGCUGAGGAACUGGAGACAGACCAGCUGGGUGGGGCCACAGACCCAGAGACUCACUGUAACCCAGACAUUAGCCGGAUUCUCAUACGACUUGACUCCAUGGACCCUCACUAUAACAUGACAGACAAAAUGAGGCUGUGAGUCUGUGCCCAACAGUCUGAAACAUCUGGUAGGUCCUCUCCCUGACAAUAGUCAAGAGUGUAAGUGACCAGGGCCCCUUUGGGAAAGGACUAAGGGAAUAAUUACACACUGGCCAUGGUGCUGUGGACUCCUUCCUUCAAGGACAAACCCUACUAGGCUUCAGAUCUAGAAUGGGCUAGGUAGUGAGCUGAAUUGAACUCGAGGCUGUGGCUUAUUGUAGGGAUUGCCUACCCCCUGCUCCUCUUUUCUUCCCUUUGAAGCACCUGUUCUAAAUGCUCAUCAGCAUUGGUGAUUCUUCUUGUUAUCGUAAGAAGCAAUUCUGUUAAAACAAUACCUCUAAUGUUCUCUGUGAGCCCAUUCCCCUCAAGUCCCUCUACCCUGCUGUUCCUUACAGUGGUUGUAGCCUCUUGGUCUCUUACAAUUAACCUCAACUUACAUGGAGGAGUCUUGGCUUUACUGGUCACCAAUUCCUAGAGAGGUGUCCCAUAGCUGGUACUGGGAUCUUAAUUUAGUAACUCAUUGCUUUGAAGAUCAGUAUUGAUACUCUCUGGCAUCCCAAGGCCCUGUGUAUGAAACCUCUAUCCAAAGUUUUUUUUAUUUAAUUUUGGUUUUCAUGUGCCUUCUUUAUACAUUCUUUAUCACUAUUUACCAUUCUAUGCCUGUUUAAGCAUUGCCAUCCCAAUAUUUCCUCACUCUAUUUUCAUAGCACGUAUGUUCUGCCAUCCCCACAUACCUCAAGAUGUCUGAAUUAUGCUUUUAUCCAUGCUCAACAUGGCCCCUUUCUCCCUUCUAGAUCUCUAUAGAUAUUCCAAUUUUAACAAACAAAUCUAAAAAUUCAAAGCUAUGACCCAAAUACGAAAGAGAAUAUGCUGUGUUUGGUUGAGUUUGGGGGCUGGGUUAGCCAGCUUGGUAUAAUGUUAAAUGAAUAACUAGAAAAGAUUUUCUCCCAUUCUGUAUGCUGUUCCUUCACUAGACUGACAGAAGAGUUUUAGUUUCCUGAGUCCCCUGAGAUAUUUUUGUCAAUUGUUGCUCUUAAUUUUCCUACAAAACUGGAAUCCUGUUCAGAAAGUUCUUGUCUGUGACUCUAUGUUGAAGUACACUCACAGACUUUUUCAAUAGCACUUUCAAAGUAUCAGGUCUUAUGUUGAAGUCCUUGACACAUUUGGAAUUGAGUUUUAUGCAAGAUGAGAGAUAAAGCCCUAGCUUCACUUUUUAAAAAGUGUUUGAUUUUUUUAAGACUGUGGGACUUUUGAAGUCAUUUAUGUUUUAUAUUGUGAUAUAUUGGAGGUUGAAUAAGAAAGGAAAAGUUAUGGUUUAAUAACAAUCUAAUAGUAAUGUAUUUGGUGUUCAAGUUGGCAUGGGUUGAAUUGUUCUUUUCUCUCUCCUUUUUUGUCAACUUGACACAAGCUACAGUCACAUCCUCUUUCUCCAGCAUCAUUUGUUGAUACUGUCUUUCCUCUAGUGAAUAGUUUGGAAUUUUCAUUACAAAUCAGAUAGAUAUAGUUGCAUUAGCUUAUUCUUUUAAUCUGCAUGUCUGUUUUGUGUCAGUACCAUUCUGUUUUGAUGACUGUACCUCAAUAGUAUAACUUGGAAUCAGGUAUGGUGAUACCUCCUACAGUGUUCUUUUUGUUCAGGACAGCUUUGGCUGUCCUUAGUCUGUGUCUCCAUAUAAUUUUAAAAAUCCUUUUCCUGCAUCUUGGAAGAACGGCUCUGGAGUUCUGGUGGGGACUGCACUAAAUUUUCAGUUGCUUUGGUGAAGUGACCAUUUUCACAAUAUUAAUUCUUUCAACCCAUGCACAUGGGAGGUCUUUCUGUCUUCUAGUGUCUACCUCAAUUUCUUUCUCCAGUGUUUUAAAGUUUUUGUUACAAAGGUUUUUCAUUCCCUUGCUUAGAAUUAUUCACAGGGUAUUUAAUUUUUUAUGGCUAUUGUAAAUAGGAUUGUUUCUCUAGUUUCUUAAUCUGUUUGUCAUUGGUGUGUUUAGGAAAGUGCAUAUAUUCUGGGGUCUCCAUUGCAUCUUACACUUGCAACAAAACUUGGCAAUAUGUAAGAGUCAAUCAGAUAGUAAUGGCUUUGAAGAAAUGAGGGAGUCAUGGAGAAUAGUUGAGGUUUGCACCUGUGGGACAUGGCUGGAGGCUCUGAGGAAAGGCUAAGAGAGCCCACUGGUGAAGAUGCAGCCUCAGUUGCAGUGGAGACUUCAGUAUACUAGAAAUACCAGUACCAUGGGAUAAUGGCUAAGGACUAAGCAAUCAGUACAAAGUAGAGCUACCAGACAAGCUGCAUGAACUUCAGAUGGCAGAGACUAGAAGUGAAACUGCCCAGGCUCUUUGGAGCCCAAAAGAUUGUGAGUGGUACUCAGACAUCAACCACUGAAUUUUUGUACUGUUGAAUCUUGCUUUUGCUUUGCUUUAAUUGUUACUGUGUCCUGACUUUUCUGUCUUGAAAUAAGAAAGUAUUUGACUUGUU